rnacentral:rRNA from 1 species
GUUUGAUCAUGGCUCAGAUUGAACGCUGGCGGCAGGCCUAACACAUGCAAGUCGAGCGGAAACGACACUAACAAUCCUUCGGGAGCGUUAAUGGGCGUCGAGCGGCGGACGGGUGAGUAAUGCCUAGGAAAUUGCCUUGAUGUGGGGGAUAACCAUUGGAAACGAUGGCUAAUACCGCAUAAUGCCUACGGGCCAAAGAGGGGGACCUUCGGGCCUCUCGCGUCAAGAUAUGCCUAGGUGGGAUUAGCUAGUUGGUGAGGUAAUGGCUCACCAAGGCGACGAUCCCUAGCUGGUCUGAGAGGAUGAUCAGCCACACUGGAACUGAGACACGGUCCAGACUCCUACGGGAGGCAGCAGUGGGGAAUACUGCACAAUGGGCGAAAGCCUGAUGCAGCCAUGCCGCGUGUAUGAAGAAGGCCUUCGGGUUGUAAAGUACUUUCAGUUGUGAGGAAGGGGGUAGCGUUAAUAGCGCUAUCUCUUGACGUUAGCAACAGAAGAAGCACCGGCUAACUCCGUGCCAGCAGCCGCGGUAAUACGGAGGGUGCGAGCGUUAAUCGGAAUUACUGGGCGUAAAGCGCAUGCAGGUGGUUCAUUAAGUCAGAUGUGAAAGCCCGGGGCUCAACCUCGGAACUGCAUUUGAAACUGGUGAACUAGAGUACUGUAGAGGGGGGUAGAAUUUCA